UCGCAGAUGCCACCUGCACCCGCCCAGCACCCUCGUCCUCACCUGGUCUCUGGCUGUCCAGAGUUAUUUCCUGUUGACCACAGCUCUCCUCAUAAGAAAGCCAUCUUCCCUCUACAAGUGCUCUGGGAAAAGGAGAGCAGGUUGAAGUAACAUUUCCUGUACUGAGACUUGCACCCUGUGAUCUGUCACUCAUCCCAAAUUCUGCAUGUGGAUGUCUUUCUUCUGAGAACACCCAAUGUGUAUGGAUCGGAAGCUCAGUGGGCUUAUUCGUAUUUAACCUGGCAAACCUGGAAGUGGAAGCUGCUUUGUAUUACAAAGAUUUCCAGAGCCUCAGCAUCCUGCUGGCCGGAUCGUGUGCCCUGAGGAACCGCACUGCGGAUCGAAAGGUGCUGUGCUUGCUGGCCUCCCUCUUUGGCGGGAAGAUUGCCGUGUUGGAGAUCAACCCGGCCGCGCUGGUCAGGGCUCAGCAGUGCCACAGCGUGGGGCAGAGCCUCUCGGUGCCAGCCAGCUUCUGUGUCCUACCGACCUCUCCACUGUAUCUGGGAAUUGCCAAGGAGAAGAGUACCAAGGCUGCUAGUCAACAGCGAUGUGCAAUGUGCCCAAGACUGACUGCUGUUCCUCUGGUGCCUGGUGCAGUGGGGGUGCAGAGUGGACCUUCAACAAUUAUUGAUUGUGAGAACAUUUUUUCCCCUUUUUUCUCUGCUGAGGAAUUUGAAAGCAGAUCCCGAGCGCGUGAUUGUACUCCUGCACACUUUAGUGUGCAUUUCUGGAACACGUAUGUUUUUACCUAGCCACCAUGACAUUAUAUCAAAACCAGUAAUUUUUUGGAACCUUGUAUUAGCAAGGCCAUAAUAAAUUAUUCUUGAUUGCCUCGACAA
rnacentral:sRNA from 1 species